GCCCUAGUAAUUUAAUAAAAAUUCUGGCCUUGUAAGCCAAAAAUGAAGGUAAAACCCCUUCCUAGGACA
rnacentral:tRNA from 1 species